UUAGGAAUAAGAUGGCCGCCGAGGACAAGUAAAACAUUUCCGUUUUCAUGCAAAAGAUUCGAAGCUUUGAGUCUCCACAAAUUAUGUUAAAACUUUAAUUUACUCUAGAAUUCAGCUUUAAUUUGUAGAAAAGAGAACGGAAACGAACGAGUGUUUGCGAAUGAUGUGUACAUUCUACGAAUAGUAAAUUUCCAUGGAUUUCGAAGAUCAGUUAGUAGACCCAGCCCUCAAAGACAUAGACUAUCUUACAAAAAAUCUUGGUACUGCCCGUCCUUGUUUGAAAUCCGGUAGAGGCACAAUACGACACAUUUCUGCUGCUGGUAAGAAUGUCACUGCAAACUGGGAUGCUUCACUCGAUUGGCACAAAGACAAGACCAAUAAGAGAAAGAAGAAGAGAUUUUCAAAACUGAGGAACACAAUUGGAUCUUUCUUUUCUUGUGUCAGUAAAGUUGAAGAUGAAAAUAUUUGCACUGCUUGUACUCAAAGAAAGCAAGAGUUUCCGGUUCAAAAGGAUGAGUCUGCUGAAGCUUCACUGGAUGAAAAGUCUGUGCUAAGGGUUUAUAAAGAAUUUUCUGAUCGAACUCAGGCUUUGGAGGAGCCACCAACAAGAAGAAAAUUCCUCUCUGAGACAACAAAGAAUAAUGUCUUACUAGACUUCAAAGAUUUGUCUUAUCAUCAUGUUGAUCAAAGUCCUGAACAGAGAUGCCUAGAUCUUUCAGAACAGACCUUUAGAAAACUACAGAGUGCGGAUGCCCAAAAAAUGGAAAAUGUUUCUCAAGCUAGAGAAUGUGUAAACAAUGCAAAACUCUCUAGAAGAAGUGUUCUUGCUACUCGAAAUACGGCCAUUGGGAAACUUUUACAAGUAGAUUCUACAUCAGAACUGAUUAGCCAUUCUCAUUCUAAAAGAAAUCAUGUUGCAGGUAUUUCACAUUUUGUAUCUGAGGAAGUCCAGCCUAUCUUUGAUCAGUUUAGCAAGUUAAGAAAUAGUCCUAAGAUUUAUCCUUCUCUGUUAGGAAUGACACGAUCACGACAUAAAAGUUUAGAAAGAGGAGGAGUGAAACUGGGUAAGGAUUUUAGAUAUGCCCUUCAUAGAAAAGUCAACAGAAGUUGGGCUGUACGAGAUCUAGAAUACAUUCUGAUGAUGAUGCAUGUUGAGGAAUGGUUUUCACCACGUUUUGCUGCAGAGGCAGUCCGAGUAGACACCAUGAAUGAGUGCACAAGCCUGCAGCUACAAGGAUUCCAGCCACAAGAACUUGCUCGAGUAGGGUGGUAUUUUAAUGGUCGCACCUUGCUAACAUUUUGCUGUGGUAUGGAGAUGCCUCAGCAGCCGCGUGGACAGCCACUUGAUGUCCAUCGAGGGCUGUCUCCACAGUGCUCAUUUGCUUGUGGGGUUCAGUCCCCAACUGACAUUGAAAGGGAAAGGGCAGAGCAGAGGCAAGAGCAAUUGCAGGCUUGUGGCAGUCAAGCAGACAUUGGCUAUGGUUACCAGCCAGUUGAUGACCCUUAUGGUCUCCAUGCUCAGGAGUUUGAUGCAGCUUUGUUUGAUUUAAGCUUCAAUCAGAAUGUUGGUGUGCAACAAGAAACCUCCCCUGAUCAACACUGGAGGACAGAUGGAGAUGGAGCGAGUUACUCUUCACCAAUUCCUUCUGCUCAGGAGGGCAGGCUGUACAUGGAGAGUGUUGUCACCAACACCACACCUGCUGAUGCAGACAGACGGCAGCCAGUUGGUGCUACCUCCCGAGCAUCAGAAGCUGCUGCACGACCAGCAGAGCUGACUCGUGAUAUACCUCCAGCCAUUAAUAGUCCAUUUCUCAUGCCAGGGGGGCUUGCAGCAGAUCCUCAGAAUCAUGGUCUUCUAAGCCUGCUUAGGGGAUCCAUUCAGAAUCCAGAUCUAAUUAAUCCAGGCAUGUUUUUUGAUGAGUACCAAGGACGUGAAGGGAUUCAAAGACAUCCACGACAUCCCCAGUAUGCAUUUCCUAACCUAAGGCUGCUUACCUUUGAAGGCUGGCCUGCAACACACCAGCAGAAACCACAUGAUCUUGCAGAAGCAGGACUAUUUUAUGCUGGUUAUGGAGACUAUUGCUUGUGUUAUUUCUGUGGUAUUGGUCUGCGACACUGGGAGCCUAUGGACAAUCCAUGGAUUGAACAUGCUCGAUGGAAGCCUACUUGUGAGUUUGUGCUGGUGAAUCAAGGGCAAGAUUUUGCUCAAGCAGCCCGAGAGUUGACAAGUAACAAUAGACAUGAAGAUGAGCAGGGAAGUUGCAAUAAGUGGAGAAUGGGGAAGGAUGUGAGAAAGGACUAGCAUUGUGGGACCAGGAGUAACACUUAAGGGAGAAUUGUCCCUGAGAUGCUUAUCUGAACGUGGCAUGUCCAGCCUACACUUGAAGAGGUUACUCAAGCAGCACAGCAAAAACAGCGCCAGCGAGAAGAAGCUUUGCCUGUAUCAGCAUCAGGAGAGAGAGAAGAUACGGAUUCAGAUGAAGAAUCAGAACAAUACUUGUGUAAAGCAUGCGUCA
rnacentral:misc_RNA from 1 species